GUCUCGAACUUCUGGGCUCAAGCAAUCCUCCUGUCUCAGCUUCCUGAAUAGCUGGGACUCUAGCCGUGAAGUACAAUCAAGAAGAAACUGAAAAAGAGCCAGAGUUAGAUGAUGAGCUUCAUCGUUGUCAUGCAGGAUUUUUAUCCCCUGAAGAACCUGCUAGAGAAGUCCACCUUCACCCUUAACCAGUGGUGCCUCAACUUAAUACUUUUAAAAUUCAUUUGUUUCUUUUGGAAUUGGGAUACUAAGGUGUGUUAAGUAAAAUACAAUAUUUACUUUUUCA